GGAUCCAGACUUUGAUCAUGGCUCAGGAUGAACGCUAGCUACAGGCUUAACACAUGCAAGUCGAGGGGAAACGACAUCGAAAGCUUGCUUUUGAUGGGCGUCGACCGGCGCACGGGUGAGUAACGCGUAUCCAACCUGCCCACCACUUGGGGAUAACCUUGCGAAAGUAAGACUAAUACCCAAUGAUAUCUCUAGGAGACAUCUGAAAGAGAUUAAAGAUUUAUCGGUGAUGGAUGGGGAUGCGUCUGAUUAGCUUGUUGGCGGGGUAACGGCCCACCAAGGCAACGAUCAGUAGGGGUUCUGAGAGGAAGGUCCCCCACACUGGAACUGAGACACGGUCCAAACUCCUACGGGAGGCAGCAGUGAGGAAUAUUGGUCAAUGGACGAGAGUCUGAACCAGCCAAGUAGCGUGCAGGAUGACGGCCCUAUGGGUUGUAAACUGCUUUUAUAAGGGAAUAAAGUGAGUCUCGUGAGACUUUUUGCAUGUACCUUAUGAAUAAGGACCGGCUAAUUCCGUGCCAGCAGCCGCGGUAAUACGGAAGGUCCGGGCGUUAUCCGGAUUUAUUGGGUUUAAAGGGAGCGUAGGCCGGAGAUUAAGCGUGUUGUGAAAUGUAGACGCUCAACGUCUGCACUGCAGCGCGAACUGGUUUCCUUGAGUACGCACAAAGUGGGCGGAAUUCGUGGUGUAGCGGUGAAAUGCUUAGAUAUCACGAAGAACUCCGAUUGCGAAGGCAGCUCACUGGAGCGCAACUGACGCUGAAGCUCGAAAGUGCGGGUAUCGAACAGGAUUAGAUACCCUGGUAGUCCGCACGGUAAACGAUGGAUGCCCGCUGUUGGUCUGAAUAGGUCAGCGGCCAAGCGAAAGCAUUAAGCAUCCCACCUGGGGAGUACGCCGGCAA
rnacentral:rRNA from 1 species